UACGUGUACAACACGGUAGUUAGGUGACGUCGAAUUAUAACUUUUUUGUUUAUAAACGCUGGUACGUUUACACGGACAAUAAACGCUUUCCUACUCUAUUUAUAAACCAAAGUGGAAAUACCCAUCAAAAAUAAAUUUCAAACUGGAAAUACCCAUAACUGCUUUUGGAAAAUCCAAAUUUAUGCUUUCUAGAAUGUACGAAGAACAACCCUAGCAGAGGGAAUGCACAAAAGGAGGUCACGUUAUCGUCUGAAAUAGCAGCUAACCAAGAUGCUUUCAUUCAUGACAAAAUUUGUAAGGCUAAAGACCUGAAUGAUAAUGACAGUUUCAUGGUUUUAAAAGUGUUAGGCUGAUAUAGUUUUAGUAAGUAUCAAAAUGUCUACUCGCGGAAAUACUGGUAAUCUGUCAGAUUUAAAAAAGUCUGACAAGUAUCAAAGAACGCUUUCUCUUAAUUUAGACUGCGGGUCAGAUACACUUCGGAAAUUGAUAGAAACAGAAUUAGACAAUUCAGGUACAACAUUUAAAAAAUACAUCAAAACCCCUCAUAUUCAAAGUAAAAUCGAACUACUUAAGCAAAAAAAGGUCAUGUAUUCUGAACAAAUAAAGAUUAUAAAUUGUAAAGAUCCGGAUUUGGAAUGCAUGGAUAUGACAUUACUUACGGUUCUUUUGCUUGAAUUAUUUCCAAUCACUGCUAACCAGGUAACAAACAUUAAAAAGCUUCGACAGAAAAGAAAUGAAUUGGCGCAUAAACCUAAGUCUAUGCUUGAAGACGAUAUUCCUUUUAAUGAAACCAGUCAGCUGAUCAUUGACCUGUCAAAAGAUAUUAGCAGUGAAUUUGAAGAAGAAAUGGGAAAACGGAUAGAGGAAUUGAAGAAGAGAGAACUUGUACGAACGAGAAGCAGCAUGGACGUGAUACAGAUAAACAAUGAAUCUUUGAUGGUGAAACUGGUGGAAACUGGCAAUAACGAAAAAGUUGAUGGAAACAAUGAAAUCUGGAUUAAAUUAGGUCUCACGAGGUACGUACGGCAACUAGCUCGAUCUCUAGAAGUUGAUGUUCUUUUGCAAGAGCUAAAAGCACAAGGUGUCAUCAACGAUACACUGAAGAGGAAGAUAGAACAGAGAUAUAAUUGUGAGGAGCAGAUGCAGCUACUUGUGAUACAUAUGAUGGACGAAACAAGAGAGAAUCUUUUGAAAUUAUGUGGCUGUCUCCGGAAAGUGAAUACUCUUCUUGCAGAUCUCGUACAACACAAGCCAUCCGACGAGAAGGAAAUAGAAGAAAAUUUGCGAAAGGAACAGCGGAAGAAAAUAAUGCAGAUCUUACAAGACUUCUUUAUAGAAGAAGAUACAAGUAGCGUAGCAUGUGAAGAUGUCCAUAUAUUUGUAGAGGAGAAGCGAAAGUGCACAACAACGUUUCAGUUCAUCCUUGAGUGCGUGAAAGAAUGUUUCCUCGGUGUUACUUUUGAAGAAAAUGACAGUAGGUUUCAUGGAAUCAAACCCAAAGAUGAAACUUUGUUUGGUGAGGAAGAAAUAACUGAAGGAGAGGAAGAGGUUUUAACAGAUAUGCCAAGUGACAAAUUUUGUACAUAUUUAGCAAAGAAAAUGGAGGAGACAAGAACAGGAAUUGGUUGUCAUUUUGAAGAAACAGUUUUAGAAGAAUGUAUUUCUGCGAAAAUAUUUGCAAAACUCACUGAUGAACAAAUGGAAGAAAACUUCAGCCCUAGGCUUAAAGAAGCAAACAUAAAAUUUGGUCUUGGCAUAAAGUCGGCACUUUCUGAAGUUCGGCAGAAUAUUGGAAGCCAAAUGAACAGAAUCUCUACAGGAGAAGCGGAUAUUUUACGUAAGUUCGAUACUCCUGCGGAGAAUAUACGUUACACUAAAUCUACUGUUAGACCAGCCAUGGGAAAUCUUUUAACUGCUUACCAUGAGUUUAUUUAUCCUGCUCUGAAAAAACAAUGCAAUCCUGCGUUUAUGGCAAAAGAAGUAAUGAGAUUUGCAUUGGCAUGCAUAAACGGUAGGAAAAACGGUACGAUACACUUUGGAAUAAAAGAGACAGGAAACGGAACUGGAGCUGUUGUAGGUUUGCCAGGCGCCGAGUUCAGCGAUAGUGCUGCAUUGAAUACUGAAAUUCAUUCAUGUAUUAAAAACUGCAUCGAUACUAAGUACCAGAUGUUCGCUGACAGAUGUAUACGUCCGGCCCAAGUCAUACCGGUUGAAGAGGAUAUGGUUGUGAUGGAAGUGGACGUUGUACCAUUUUCCGGUCAUAUUCAAGAAACGUGUAUUCAAAUACAAUUUCCACCUAAAGGCAAUCAAAGGCAGAAAUGUUUUGUCUACGAAGAAAAUAUGAUAGUCACAAUAGCCCAGUCAAAACUAAAAUUUGUAGAAGAGGACUUUAAGCGUUUAUUUGAAGAGAGGGUUCAACUUGAAAAAGAACUGGCUAUGCCAAAUGUUUCUGCAUCAAACAGGACAACACAGAAGCUAAAGAAGCUGCUUACUGGUGGAAACAAAUUUAUAACAGAUGCAUUUAUACCUGUGAUUUGUUCAGGUAAUAUGAGCGGUUGUCUUCGAGAAGCCGAAAUACGUGAAAGUAUGGUCAACAUGUCGAUUGCGUUUACUACAUCAGCUGGGGUGUUUGACUUUGAUUCAUCUGUUGAUUUAAGAUACUUGAUUGAAAACGAAAACAACUACUUCCAGGUAAAAGUCCCUGAAGAUUUCAUUUCAAAACGAUGUCGUAGAGAAAGUGAUAAAACUGGAGAAAGUAAAAUCUGGCUUUACUCAAACGGCAACGAAGAGCUUCGUAACGAAAGAAUGGAAACAGAACUGUGGUACUCGAAAAGACUAGCUGGAGUAAGGGCUGCUCUUGAUCAGAUAAGGCAACAGAUACCAGUUAAAAGGGGACUAGUUAUAUUUUUGGUGUUUCAGACACCUAUUGAACAAGAUCCAAUGCUUGAAAUUGCUCGGGAAACAUUCCUUAAGACAUUCAAAGACGAAUGUAUAGUAAUAGCUGAAAAUGAUGAACUUUUGCAGGACUGGCGGAGAGAAAUGAAAGGGAGACUGACCAAGCAAGAUUUCGAAAGUAAAACAGUCACUGGAUUGUCAUGGGAAGAUACUGCCUCUAUUGUCAAAAGCGUUUUUCACCCAGGUAAAAACGUCCUGUACAAAUUUCCUGACAGCAGGGGUCACAUCGUUGAAAUGACGAUAAGAGAAAUGGACGACCUACAGCUACAAACUAUUGAAUUAGUCGAUGGUUAUGCAGGAGAACAUUGUCACAUUCAAGAAGAUGAAGACACUGAUGAAAUUUGUUGUUUUAGAAGGUCAAAAGAGCAAGAAAAUUUUUACAAGGGAAAUGAUGUAACCUGGUGGAAUUUCUAUUACUUACACGUCGGCAAAAGAGAUAAAUAUGACCUGCACAAACAAGAAAUAAAAUACAAAUUACGUUCUACUGACAGUAUUGACAGAUAUGAAACACAUCAAAUUGAGCAUAAUCCUGGGGCCGGUGGAAGUACUCUUGCACGGCAUAUCAUAUGGCACUUCAGCCAGAUAAAGCAGACCCCUGAUGAAACGUAUAGAUGUUGUAUUGUAAACAGAAUAACAGAUGACACGGCCGAAGAGAUUUAUAGGUUUAAGACAUUCAAAGACAAGUCUGGCACGAAACCUGUUAUUGUUCUUAUUGAUAACAAAAGCGAAGAGCAUUUGAAUUUGCUCAAAGCAAGGGUAGACGAAGUAGCAUACAAGAAAGGAUCUCCGGGGAAAUUGUUUUGCUUAUUAGUUACAGUGACCAGAGUUCCUGUCUCACAUGUGUCGAGAGAAAUGGUCCUUGAACAUGAUUUAUCAAAGAAAGAAAAAAUGUGGUUUGACAACAAAUUCAAGGAAUUGGACUCAAACACCGAUGUUAACGUGAAAACGUUGAUUGCCUUCAACGUGAUGAGGGAAUCUUUUGAUCCCAAAUUUAUAGAGGAAACGACAAAGGAGCUUAUGGGGGAAAUAACUCCUGAAGAAAAGAAAUUACUAGAAGUUUUGUCCCUUAUUUGUUCGUUUGACAGCGACAGCCCAAUCCCGGAAACUGUGUUUGAUUCGUUAAUGCAUGGUGUUAUAUAUGAUCCAAAUAUUUUGAAACUUGAACAAUGUAUGAACAGACCGUUUGGCAUUGUGUGGUCAGAGAAAGAAAGACGUGCAAUGCGACGAGUAGACAGGGAAACAUGGAACGUGAACUUGACAGGUGCCAUGCAGUUGCUUAUCACUCACCGUAAAGUCAACAGCGACACUCACUUCAAUAAUGGUGUUUGCAUUUUAUCGCAGCCUUUGUCCAAAGCAAUUAUGUCUCAUAUCAUGUAUACAGAAGAGAAAUCGUUCGAAGACAUGGUAGAUAAUGUAUUACAGCUGUUGGAUCAGCAUGGGUCUGAAACAAAUGCUAUGUCAAAACUAUUUAUAAAGAUAGUUUGCAGUUUGUUCACUUACAGAGAGUCAUUUAAAGACGAAAAGGGAGAAAAUAAAGUUGCAAAAUUUUCGGCAUUGGUUUUGCAUCUAGAAAAACAGAUUGCAAAUGAAAACGCUGAGCAGGCACAGAACAGAGUCAUUAAAGUGAUGACCAAAUGCUUCGAUGUUUCUGGGAACGCUAUGGUUGGACAACAGCUGGCAAGAUACCACUACCACAUAAAGAAUUUCAUGGCAGCUGAAGAUGUUAUUAAACGGUGCUUAGAUCAUAAGCCCCAAAACUCUUACCUACUUGACACGUAUGGACAGAUUUUCAAAUCUAAAAUGGAACACAUUAUAGGAAGCAAAUCUAGUGUAAAGAUGAACAACACCGAAAGUACAGAAUGUAUUGAACUAGCCUAUAAGGCCGUUGAGAAGUUCAAACUUGCGCAAGCAGCAUCUACUACCUUAAACGAGGACAAUGCCUCCUUCAACUCAAAUUGCUUUUACAUGGAAGUUAUAACCGCAUUAUAUCUUCUAGAAAAUUUUCAUAGGUUUGAGUGUUUUGGUGACAAACAAACAUUUUGGAGCUUUCUGAAUGACAAAAACUUUUCCAUCAAUGGUUCAUCGUAUGAACAUAUUCUACGAGAAGCACCAGUUCUUGAACAGUUCAGAAAUGGCCGGGAUACUCAUCAUCACAUUGAACGGUCUCUCAGAACCUUAGAAGAAAAAGCAUACAUGACAAGAAAUUACUUGACAACUGUAAUAACUCCCUCAAAAGACUUGCUGCUCUUGAAGCCAAGAGAACGGUUUGAGCUCUUUUAUGGAAGCAAAGAGCAUACAUUACAGUUUGAAUUCUUGUAUGGCGUCGGAUUAAAACUGCUUAUGAAGUGUUACCACGCUAAGGAGAGCCGACAGAAGCUGGUAGAGCGAGCGAGAAAGGCUGAACUUCGUUUAGACAAAGACGACACUACAGAGUUAGAGAGAGAUUUGCUUGUGUAUUUAGGCUAUAGUAUCAUUGAAAUUUCAAAACAAGAAAUAGAGAUAGACCUCGGGCGGUAUCGAAAAUUGGUAAACUACAGUGCACGGUUAUGGGAAAUACAGCGUGUAAAGGGGCCGAAAGAGAGACAUUAUGUUGAAGCCUAUCUAUAUUAUGCACUAUUGCACUGGAUACUUCCUAGCAGGACAGAAUCUGGUCUUGAAAACCUGUCUCACCCAGAUACUUACAAUGCGCUGCUGAGACAGUGGGAUAAGGCAUACAUGGCAAACAACUAUAUUAAAAGCAAAGAUCAGCUUUUCAAACAGAAACCAAAAAUUUACUUUGCUCUUGGCAAUGGUUCAGCAGGAAACGAUAUCGUAGAUUUAGAAUGGCUUAGACAUAAAUGGCGGGAAGCAAUGUUGAAGGAAGGACGAACAAGAAGAGAGGUAAAGGCCGAUAAUCACUGGCAACAUGAUCUUUUCGAAGAAAGUCUCAAACGCCUCUCUGGAAUUGUAGAUAUCAGUGGUAGACGGAUUACUACUGAGGUGCAGUACAACAACAGGGUGUUCGCAUUUCAGAUACACACACUCGAAAAUUGUUCAGAAUUUAGUAACCGGGUCGUCACGUUUGUUCUUGGAUUCUCCUGGAUGGAGCUAGUUGCACUGGAUGUCCGAAGGACAGGAGUUCUUAUAUUGAAGAGAGGACUUUCAAACGACAGACGUCUCAGAAGUCCCCAGAAAAUUCCGAAGAAAAUCUGGUAACACCACAGCUCGUCAGUCAAAGGUCAGCAAAAUCGGAAGAACAAGUUAACUUAAGGAAUGAAAAUCAACAAGGAAUCUCAUCAGGACAUCAUAUGCAAUCCAAAGAACAACUUUCUUCGAUUGAGAAGGUAAG
rnacentral:misc_RNA from 1 species